AGGUGGCGACCGGCGCACGGGUGAGUAACACGUAUCCAACCUGCCGAUAACUCGGGGAUAGCCUUUCGAAAGAAAGAUUAAUACCCGAUGGUAUAAUCAGACCGCAUGGUUUGAUUAUUAAAGAAUUUCGGUUAUCGAUGGGGAUGCGUUCCAUUAGGCAGUUGGUGAGGUAACGGCUCACCAAACCUUCGAUGGAUAGGGGUUCUGAGAGGAAGGUCCCCCACAUUGGAACUGAGACACGGUCCAA
rnacentral:rRNA from 1 species